rfam:Tortispora caseinolytica NRRL Y-17796 unplaced genomic scaffold CANCAscaffold_3, whole genome shotgun sequence.
GAGAAUUUGGCCGAGUGGUUAAGGCGUCAGGUUUAGGCUACGCUUAAGAACCCUGAUAUCUUCGGAUGCGCGAGUUCGAAUCUCGUGAUUCUCA